UGUUCUGCAUUCUCAGGAUCCUGUUUGCACCUUUACUUCUAACCUCGCUUCUUUCUGCUGGAGCCUCUGUUCUGUCUUUCAUGGUUCUCACCUUACUAUCUUCACCCUCGGGCUCCAAACUCAGUUUCUCUGCUCCCACAUCCUCCCAGCCCAUUUCAUGACUGCAGUGAACAGUGCCAUGCAUUAAUUCCACCCAUGCAGAGAGUUGUUUAAGGCCGUUCAGUGUAUCAUGAUCGCGUACUAAAUUCUGUUCUGUGUCUCUCUUGAUCUCUUCCCAUCUCACAGCUCAGUGGGGUUGAAGGAUUGCCGGGGUUCCUCUAAUUAGCGGCUUAAGCACUGGAGAAUCUACCAGAGCAGAAAAGAAGGGAUUGUCCUUUUCUCGACCACUGUAGUUGGGAUCACCCCAGCUGUGGGACCCAAUGGUGUGACAAAGCGAAGCCUCUGGUCUGCUGAACACUGUGACUGGCACAGAGAGGCCCUGUGACCAUUGUGGAUCAUACUGACAGCUGCACUCGGUGAGGUUUCCCAGAGCUGAUCAGCAUGUGGAAUUCCCCACCUGCCCCAACCAUGCCCUGAUCUCCAAACUCCUUUGCAUCAUUGUGUCUCACAGUCCCAGGCGUCUCGCUGUGGCGCUGCUGGUAAGAGGAAUGUACACAAGUUGCAGCCCCUGCAUGUGCGGGGCAGAGCCUUCAUUAUUGUAUUGUGCUCAAUGGGUGGCAGCAAGGAACUGUGGUGCUCCUGGGCAGUGCCAGAACUGCACGGAGAUCUGUGGCUCUUCAUGAAGUCAGCAAGAAAUGGAAAACUGGAUUUCCUGGAAUGCCCUGGAACCUGACUUUGCUGACUGGUAACUCACUGCCCCUACGGGUAAGGGCAAUGUACACCUACCAGUGUUUACCCAUGACAUAGCGUGGCUCCACGUAAUGCUGCCAGAGAUUGUUACUGUGCUUAAAGUUUCCCUACAGGCUGCUGGUCCUCUUCCUCCUGCUUUCUCCUUGCCUCUUGCCUGUCUAAUCUAAUCCAGACUAGUCACCAUAAGAGUGCAACUCAGAGUGCAGUACAACUCAGAACCCAUUGAGACCCUGCACUUGCAGACCCUACACCUACACUGUAGUGCUGCUGCUCCCACCCCUGUCCCUCUUGUCUCCUGGGCACCAUUUCUAAACUAGCUCUGCAGCUCUGGAACUCGAUGCUUUGAUGAAGGAAGGCCCUCAGACUCAACUUAGUUGACCGGCUGCCCUGAUAGGUAAGGGCAAUGUACACCCACCAGUGUUUACCUAUUAUGUAGCAUGGCUCAACCUAGUGUUCCCAGAGCUCGUUACUGUACUUGAGGGUGCCCUACAGGCUGCCUGUCCAUUAUGUCAUAUGUUCUCCUUGUCUUGGGCCUUUCCCUGCGGUGUUUUCCUUGCUUUUGCCUUGGCUUUCUCUGGCUGUUUUUGUUGCCCUCGCCCGGGCCUUCCUUGCGAUGUUCUCCUUGGUGUGUUCACGUUGGCCCUUGCCCGGGCCUUUCUUGGCACAUUCUCGUUGGCCUCAUUUUGACUUUCCCUUGGGCAUUCUAAUUGCCUUUGCCUUGCUGUUCCCUUGGGUUUUCUUCUUGCCUUUUCUUCACUGGGAUUGGCUAAGAGGCACCAUUAAUGUUAAUCUUGAUCUCAACCCUGUGCUUAAUGGGAGCUCUAGAGAUAAUUAUAUUAACCCACAAUGUAAUUUGAAACCUUACUCUUAACCCGAUGCUAAAAAUGUCGAUAACGCUCCAUGUAGCAGUAAAAACAAAGCUUGGAGUUUUCUAAGUAACCGUAACCCUAAUCAUAAUGUAGGAAACUACUGUUGAACUAACCGUAACCUUAAUCCUAAAACUAGCUUAGAUUAUAACCCUAAUGCUCCUAAAAAAGCAUGGUUAUGUCCUCAUCCUAAAAAUCCACUAAAACUAAUCCAGACAAGACACUGUAAAAAUAACAUUAACAGUAACCUCAGUCCUAAAAUAAUGCUAACUGUAACUGUAAUUACCCUAUUUAUUAAUGUGUAAAUCCUCUUUUGAAAACAUAGCCUACUGUAAUGGUAAUAGGCCAAGUGUUUAGUAAUGCUGAAUGCACUGGCCACUCUAACCACUGUAGAUGACAACUCUGAACAUGCACUGAGACCCUGCACUUCCAGAUCCUACACAUACACUGUAGCGCUGCUGCCCCCUCCCCUCUCCCUUCCGUUUCCCUGGCACCAUUUCCAAGCUAGCUCUGCAGCUGUGGGACUCGAUGGCUCAAAGAAGGUCAGCCCUCGGUCUGCUGCUCGCUGGGACUGGUACGGAAUGGCUCUGUGGUGGGUCCAGUAGAGCCUGUGGAUCGUACCGUCAGCUGUACUCGGUGAGUUUCCCAGAGCUGCUGAGCUCGCAGGCUUCCCCGCCUGCCCCAACCGUGCCAUGAUCUCCAAACUCCUUUGCAUCAUCGUGUCUCACAGUCCCAGGCAUCUCGCUGUGGUGCUGCUGGUAAGAGGAAUGUGCACAAGGUGCAGCUCCUGCGUGUGUGGGGCAGAGCCUUCAUUAUUGCAUUGUGCUCAACAGGUGACAGCGGAGAACUGCGGUGCUCCUCUGCGGUGCCAGAACUGCAUGGAGAUCUGUGGCUCUUCAUGAAGUCAGCAAGAAAUGGAAAGCUGCAUUUCCUGGAAUGCUCAGAACCCACCUUGUUUGUCUGGUAACUGGUUGCCCAUACAGAAGAAAGAGAAAACAGAACGCCAGGACGGGGCUGGGGAGCCGCGCCGAUCCCAUCGGAUGUGUUCUUCCCGUGGUCUCAGCUGCCACCGCGUGGCCAAUCCGCAGAACUGCCGCUGCCUGUGCUUGGGGACCCAGGCAGCAUGAUGCAUGCGCGCCAAAAAGCGGAAGAGGCGUACCUACGUUCUGACUGCUCUGCGCAGCGAAUCCGCCAAUCUCUAUUGUGAUUAGUCCUCCAGGCAGUAGUGCGCAUGCGCGCCGGAAAGUGGAAGUGGCAUGUCUACGAUCUGACCGCUCUGCGCAGCUAAUCUGCAGAUCUCUACUGUGAUUAGACCUCCAGGCAGUAGCACGCAUGCGCACCGAAAAGCGGAAGUGGCGUACAUGCAUUCUGACCGCUCUGCGCAGCUAAUCCGCCGAUCUCUAUUGUGAUUAGACAUCCAGGCAGUAGUGCACAUGCGCACCAGAAAGCGGAAGUGGCGUAUCUGCGUUCUGACCGCUCUGCGCAGCUAUUCUGCCAAUCUUUACUGUGAUUAGUCCUCCAGGCAGUAGCGCGCAUGCGUGCUGGAAAGCAGAAGUGGUCUACAUCCGUUCUGACCGCUUUUCGCGGCUAAUCCGCCAAUUUCUAUUGUGAUUAGUCCUCCAGGCAGCAUGACGCAUGCGCGCCGAAAAGCGGAAGUGGCGUAUCUACGUUCUGACCGCUCUGCGCAGCUAAUCUGCCAAUCUCUAUUGUGAUUAGUCCUCCAGGCAGUAGCGCGCAUGCGCUAAAUCCCUUGUUAUGACCCCCAAAAUUCCCAUUUCUUACCGCAGUAUCCCAUUUUUAACCCCCAAAUCCCUGCUUUUAAAACACCAAACCUCCAUUUGACACCCCAAAAUCCAUUCUUAUCAGCAAAAUUACCAUUUUUCACCCCCCAAAUCCCCAUUUGAACCCCAAAAUCACCAUUUUUCAUACCAAAAAUCCCUCUUUUUCACCCCCCAAACCCCAUUUUUCAUUGCAAAUAUCCCCAUUUCUAUUCCUAAUCUCCCUUAAAGAGAUGUACAUUGAU